rnacentral:rRNA from 1 species
AAGUCGUAACAAGGUCUCCGUUGGUGAACCAGCGGAGGGAUCAUUACCGAGUUUACAACUCCCAACCCCUGUGAACCUUACCUAUCGUUGCUUCGGCGGUCGCCCCAGCGCCCUCGGGCCUGGAGCCAGGCGCCCGCCGGAGGCCCAAAACCACUGUGUAUUAUUGGCAUUAUCUGAGUUAAACAAACAAAUAAAUCAAAACUUUCAACAACGGAUCUCUUGGUUCUGGCAUCGAUGAAGAACGCAGCGAAAUGCGAUAAGUAAUGUGAAUUGCAGAAUUCAGUGAAUCAUCGAAUCUUUGAACGCACAUUGCGCCCGCCAGUAUUCUGGCGGGCACGCCUGUCUGAGCGUCAUUUCAACCCUCAUGCCCCUAGGGCGUGGUGUUGGGGAUCGGCCAAAGCCCGCGAGGGACGGCCGGCCCCUAAAUCUAGUGGCGGACCCGUCGUGGCCUCCUCUGCGAAGUAGUAAUAUUCCGCAUCGGACAGCGACGAGCCCCUGCCGUUAAACCCCCAACUUUCUAAGGUUGACCUCAGAUCAGGUAGGAAUACCCGCUGAACUUAA